ensembl:lncRNA
AGAGUAUCUUGCUGGAGGCCUUCUGAAGGAAGAGCUGACACAAGUUGGCAGGGACAGAAGCAGCCUCUCCUGCUUGCUCCUUAUCCAACUGGAGCAUGCACUAAUUCAGAGACUCUUUGACAAAGCGAACCAAGAUCAGACCUCUGCAGAACCUUGGUGCUCUUUUGUAUUCCUCCUCACUUGGUCUUUAUGGAGUGAGCCCAUUCCCACCAUGAGUUCCAAUGGUGAGCAGUGUGCAUGAUGCAUGCAUGAAUGCCUGUGGUUUAAUGGAUGACUGCACAGGGAUGCUCCCUGUGCGGUUAUAUGGAUGUACCCACUGCUUACAGUCCAAAACUGGAAAAAAAACUCCAGAAAAGUGAGUCCUCUCAAGAAAUUCAAGGGCAGGCACAGAGAGAUUACAGAGAAGGAGGUGAGACUGCUGUCUGCUAACAAUUAGAUUCAGCAGGAUGGAAGGUGUUGUAUGGCAAAGUGACAGGAAGCUGCUCGCCUAAUGGUAAUGCCACCCUUGUUUGUGGCUGAAAAUGGUGUUCACAGGGGAUAUGUAUAUGAACAAAAGGUGUGACUGUCCCACCUCUGCACAUGAAUUUCCUGCUGGUGGGGCCAGAGCAGGACCCAAUGUUCCUACAGCACCUACCAUUGAGCAGUGUUUGAGAAGGAGCUCCAGCCCUGUGUGGUCAUGACUGCUGUGCUCAGCCCUCCAGGGAGAGGGAGGAAGGGUGCAGCGCCAUGGCACACAGCUCACCUGUAUUGCAGAGCAAGGCCUGAUGGUUGCAGCUAGCCUGUCCCAUUGCAUGGAGGAAGAGUCCUCAUCCUGAUGUCAGCAUCAAUUUUUGUCACACAUCUUCAGUGUUUCCUACCCUCUCUUACCAGUCAACCUCAGAAAGGCUUCCGAAAGUUUUACAUUUGGGUGGUUUCAAAGAACAGUGCUUUUUGGUCUUUUGGGUGGGGGCUUCACAGCAGCAAGUUUUAUUGUGAAAAUAUUCACAUGUAGCCCAUGACUGGGAGGAGAUUUUCCCUAGGAGGAGGCAGAGUGGAGAUGGACAGACAAGAAUCACCUUUUGGAAAGCAGCUGACCAGUAGAACCCUCAACUGGAGGAGGAAUGAGAUGUUUCCGAGCCCUGACACUGCUGAGUUGAAGCAGUUCUUCACCUUCAGCAUCUGCUGACAUCUCAGGUGAAGCUUGCAAAAGCAUCUCCAGAACCUACAGUGCUCUUUGCAGUGAAUGUAGAUACGCAGAGACACAUCCUACAUGGGUGUUUCACCGCCGGUCCCUGGACCACCCCCCCACGCCCCAGUCCCGGAACCGAGCUCCGCUUCCCCACGUGUCCCCACCUGUGGCAUCGACGGUGGCACAUCUGGGCUGCGCGCCCCCUCCUUCCCUCCCGGAGCGGAACAGCUGUCUCCAUAGCGACGGGGAGCGGCGGGGGGG